rnacentral:lncRNA from 1 species
GGGAGCGGAGUGGUCGCCCAGCGCGCGGGGGGACGCGGGCUGCACUCCCGGGCAGGCGCUCUGCAAUGAGACAGUAAAUGCAUCCCCCGGUGCUGCAGGAGGCUUCUCACAUGCUUUGGGAUAUCUUCAGGGAAAUACGCUCUUAAUAGAAACUGAGAAUUUAAGAUUAUACACAGACGCAAGCCUACCAUCCUGUAGCGUGUGGACCUAGGGCAAAAUUUUCUCAUUAUUUG